rnacentral:piRNA from 1 species
GUUUGGCUAGUGAAGCUGUAGGCCGCG